rnacentral:rRNA from 1 species
CUCGUAGGUGGUUCGAUACGUCGGAUGUGAAAUCCCCGAGCUUAACUUGGGAAUUGCAUUCGAUACUGGGAAGCUAGAGUAUGGGAGAGGAUGGUAGAAUUCCAGGUGUAGCGGUGAAAUGCGUAGAGAUCUGGAGGAAUACCGAUGGCGAAGGCAGCCAUCUGGCCUAAUACUGACGCUGAGGUACGAAAGCAUGGGGAGCAAACAGGAUUAGAUACCCCCGUA